GGGCGGAUGUAGCCAAGUGGAUCAAGGCAGUGGAUUGUGAAUCCACCAUGCGCGA
rnacentral:tRNA from 1 species